CGCUCAUGUGGCAUUCUGCUAUCGUUUUCGUCCUUAUAGCACGCGCCAUUUCUCUUUGCAUUUGAUGUACAAACGGCUGUUUUGUCAGAUACAUGUAUGCCGCUCAUUUUGAGCAGAUGUCUUGCAAAAUAUUGCUUAUGGUUAUAUUAUGCAUCCUGGUUGAGCUUCCGACAUAUGAAGGACAAAGCGCCUGGGAAGGAAUAGACCCAAACAGGUUCCCACAUCUCUUUGACCUAGUCAUGCAGGGAGUGGUGUCUAACCCAGUAAACAUUAGCAACACUAGCGGCUAUCCUCUUGAUUUGGAGUUCGGGCAA